UGAAAAAGAACCUGAAACCGUGUACGUACAAGCAGUGGGAGCACCCUUUGGGGUGUGACUGCGUACCUUUUGUAUAAUGGGUCAGCGACUUAUAUUCUGUAGCAAGGUUAACCGUAUAGGGGAGCCGGAGGGAAACCGAGUCUUAAUUGGGCGUUAAGUUGCAGGGUAUAGACCCGAAACCCGGUGAUCUAGCCAUGGGCAGGUUGAAGGUUGGGUAACACUAACUGGAGGACCGAACCGACUAAUGUUGAAAAAUUAGCGGAUGACCUGUGGCU
rnacentral:rRNA from 1 species